rnacentral:rRNA from 1 species
UGGGAACCUUCCCUAUGGUUCGGAAUAGCUCAGGGAAACUUGGGGUAAUACCGGAUAAGCCCUUCGGGGGAAAGAUUUAUCGCCAUUGGAUGGGCCCGCGUCGGAUUAGCUAGUUGGUGAGGUAACGGCUCACCAAGGCAACGAUCCGUAGCUGGUCUGAGAGGAUGAUCAGCCACACUGAGACUGAGACACGGCCCAGACUCCGUACGGGAGGCGG